UCUUCCGUAGUAUAGUGGUCAGUAUAUGAGCUUGUCAUUUGAAAUAUCCUGUCUGAGAAAUCAGCAGAUCAUAUCUCCGAUAACGCUCGGGACCCGGGUUCAAUUCCCGGCGGGAGAG